UUCAUUUUCCCUAUAUUUGAAUGGGUUGGGAAUUACAAUGUUAAUAAUAAUUUAGAGUAAAGAAAAACAUUGUAGCUAGUACCUCUAAGUACACAAUUUUAGAAAAACAUUGUAGCUAGUACCUCUAAGUACACAAUUUUAAUAGGCAGUUAAGUAUCAAACAAGAGAGUCCAUUUCAUUUUAUUUAAAAAGUAUCACAUCACACACGAUGAAAUAACAACUUAUCAAGAUCGAUAAGAUCAUCACAACUCGUUAUUAGAGAUGAGGACCUUUAUCACGUAUAGAAGUACUGCCGUUAGAGCCGAUCUUCAUUCCUUUGUUGAUAUGUAUAUUUCCAACCCCGUUUCCUGUUUUUUAGUUUGAUAAACCAUGAAUCAAUUACUAAUGACAUGCAUUUCUUAAGUUAGGGUUUCUCUAUUGUUCAAAAAAUGAAUUUAUUAAAGUUCGAAAAAUAAUAAUGAAUUUAUUGAAAAUUUAAAAGAAUAUAUGAUCUAUCAACGAUGAAUCAAUUACUAAUGACAUGCAUCUAGCCAACUCAUCUUAGUCUCUUUUCAGUUUAAUGAAGGAAUAUGUUGCUCAGAAAAAUAUGAUCUAUCAACGAUUGGAUCAUACUCAUCAUAGUAUCAUACAUAUAUACAACAACAGAGCUACAUGUUACCAGUUUAGUUAUAUCAUCACUUUAUCGAUCAAAGUCAAAUAUCAGCUUUACUAAAUACACCAUACUCCCCACAUAUACACGUGACAUGUACAUCCACAAAUAGAUCUGACUUCUGCUAUCACAUACACACACACAUACACAAUCUCAAGAUAACCAUAGAAUAAACUGAGAGGAGUGAUGGAAACUUACUAGAGUGCGAGAUGAGUAAGUUACGUUGGCCAACGUUGGGGUCAAUUAGUGCAAUGGACAAGAGGAACAUUACACCAAUUAAGAAACCCAACUUGCAUUUCAUCAUCGUUUUUUUUUUCG
rnacentral:lncRNA from 1 species